ensembl:ncRNA Y105E8B.15 ncRNA
UUCGCGUCGCUUUGUGCAAUAACGCAACGUAUUGUUACUUUCUCCGUGGAGCAUGUUUGCAUUGCGACUACCUUGGCGACGGCUCUGUGUAUGUUCU